GAAAUUCGUAACCUCCUCAGGAGCUCUGGAAGCCUCUAAUCAAGAGCUAUUGUCGGCGCAGGCCAACUCGAUUUACAUCAUUUCCUGGCCCCAGCUUUGUGCUUUCCUUGUGCCCAUUCCUUUACAACAGGGUAGAGACAUCUUCAUGCUGUAACGAAGUGUUUCAGACAGGGAAGCUACCGUUAGCGCGAAAACACUGCAUGCUGUUGGCAUCGAGCGUGCUACUCCCACCGCUUCCUGAAUCUCAUCCCCAGACUGCUGCACAGUAUGUUCCUGGGUAUGGCUGUUGGGGAGCUGCAGGGGGAAGACGCCUGCUUU